UUGCCACAGCUCUCCACAGUUGGGAUUUGAAAAUAUCUGAAUAUCCAGUUUUUAUUUUUUUAUUUGUCUGCUCUCGUCUCAAGUGUUUUCGCUACUGUGACGAGUGGGGCUAAAAGCGAAUUGCCUGACUGUGCGUGUACAUGUGUGCGUGCGUGUGUGUGUGUGUAUGUGUGCUCUAAUGAGAUGGGACUCGUUUUUAGCUGUGUCCAGAGCCAACCCCGGCAGACCCCAGACGGCUGCUUCUUCUGCUGCUGCUGUUGCGCGGCUUUUAUUUUUUUAAUUACGAAAAUUGGAUUUUUAUGUACGACGGCAACAGAGUCCGAGACGAAGACACUUGACAUGCAUGUGGAGCUGGCAAUGAGGAUAAUAUUCCCCCCCAAACCCUUCUCCACAGACCGACAUCCAGAGUAUCCGGGGUGAGAGUGAGAUUGGACAUAGACUGGACGGGCAUCUGUGUCGGGCAUGGUUUAUUUUUACACUUGAUUUUUAUCUCUUACCAUGUUUUGGGGUCGUUGCUUAAUUGAGUUAACAACUGCAGGUAAGAGUGGCAAUUGCCUUAAGCCCCUACCCCGCCCCACCCCCUCGCUGCAUUCCCUGCACGCCUCCGCUGUACUAUUGCUAAUGAAAUUAGGUUAAAGUGGCAGUAAAUGGGCAACAAACCAGCUGCCGUUUCAUGGGCAGCAGCCAACUUCCGUGGCCUUCGGCCCUAGCUUAGCAUCCCCCGCCAAGCAGCUGCAAAUUGAGCGAUUUUAUGCAGCUACUUUCCAAAUGCAUUAACAGCAAAAUUAUAUGUACGAGUGGGAGCUCAGGUAUUACUGCAAUUCGGAGCCUGGCAUUUGGGAGGAGUAUGUGUGGCAAUGUGGCAGCGCCUGGGUGAAAGCUGCUGGCAGAGACUGUAAAGACUCACUGUAGAGACUGGCUGCUUGCAAAAACAAAAUGUGGGCCGGGUUCUGUAAUGAGCUGUGGAAAUGGCAGCGCAUACAAAUGGAGCGAUGGGGUACGUUGUGCACACUUUGACUAAAAUAAUAAUCAUCUAUCAAGCGUAAGUCCAGUAAAAUAAAUUCCGAAGUCUUUCGCUUUUUAGCCAGCUGUCAAAGAUGUUGGAAUAACUGCAAAGCCUGACUCCUGGCCGGAUUCAAACUUUUGCAGCUUCCGCCCAAAGGCCAAUUGCCAAAGUUUUUGGGCCCUUUUGGAGCACAUACGCACCUUUUGCGUAUUCCCCAGUUGGAAAGUCAGAGCAAAGGGUCAAAACUGUUACCAUAAAUACGCAAAUAAUUCGCUGGUGAAUGUCGCACUUUCAGCUGUUGUUUCUUAAUAAAACUUUUGGUUACCUGCUCGGUAGAA